GAUGAACGCUGGCGGCGUGCUUAACACAUGCAAGUCGAACGGAAAGGCCUUGUGCUUGCACAAGGUACUCGAGUGGCGAACGGGUGAGUAACACGUUGGUGCUCUGCCCUGCACUGUGGGAUAAGCCAGGGAAAAUGGGUCUAAUACGAUAUAGGACCGCAUCCUGGAUGGUGUGGUGGAAAGCUAUUGCGGUGUGGGAUGGGCCUGCGGCGUAUCAGCUUGUUGGUGGGGUAAUGGCGUACCAAGGCGGCGACGGGUUUCAGGCCUGAGAGGGUGUACGGGAACAUUGGGACUGAGAUACGGCCCAGACUCCUACGGGAGGCAGCAGUGGGGAAUAUUGGACAAUGGGCGCAAGCCUGAUGCAGCGACGCCGCGUGGGGGAUGAAGGCCUUCGGGUUGUAAACUCCUUUCGCUAUCGACGAAGCCACUUGUGGUGACGGUAGGUAGAUAAGAAGCACCGGCUAACUACGUGCCAGCCGCCGCGGUAA
rnacentral:rRNA from 1 species